UUACUUACCUGGCAGGGAAGACACCAUGAGAAUGUAGGUGGUUUUUCAGGGAAAGGUUCACCCUUUAACUCCAGAUGUGCUGCCCCAUGCGAUAUCCCCAAAUAUGGGAAACUCAGCUGCAUAAUUUAUGGUGGUUGUUGGGGGGACUAUGUUUGUACUCUCCUCUU